rnacentral:misc_RNA from 1 species
UCAAACUUGGUCAUUUAGAGGAAGUAAAAGUCGUAACAAGGUUUCCGUAGGUGAACCUGCGGAAGGAUCAUUACCGAACUGUCAAACACGGGUUGUCGCUGGCCUCCGGAAUGGGGGGCAUGUGCACACUCUGUUUACACAUCCACUCACACCUGUGCACCCUUUGUAGUUCCAUGGUUUGGGAGACCCCGUCUUCCUUCUGUGGCUCUACGUCUUUACACACACACUGUAGUAAAGUUUUAUGGAAUGUUUUUCUGCGUUUAACGCGAUACAAUACAACUUUCAGCAACGGAUCUCUUGGCUCUCGCAUCGAUGAAGAACGCAGC